AUACGGAGGGUGCGAGCGUUAUUCGGAAUCACUGGGCGUAAAGGACGCGUAGGCGGGUUGGCAAGUUAGAUGUGAAAUCCUACAGCUUAACUGUAGAACUGCAUUUGAAACUGCUAACCUAGAGUAUGGGAGGGGGAGAUGGAAUUAGUGGUGUAGGGGUAAAAUCCGUAGAUAUCACUAGGAAUACCGAAAGCGAAGGCGAUCUCCUGGAACAUAACUGACGCUAAGGCGUGAAAGCGUGGGGAGCAAACAGGAUUAGAAACCCUAGUAGUCC
rnacentral:rRNA from 1 species